rnacentral:rRNA from 1 species
AUUGAACGCUGGCGGCAUGCUUUACACAUGCAAGUCGAACGGCAGCGCGGGCUUCGGCCUGGCGGCGAGUGGCGAACGGGUGAGUAAUACAUCGGAACGUGCCCAGUAGUGGGGGAUUGCUCGGCGAAAGCCGGAUUAAUACCGCAUACGACCUGAGGGUGAAAGCGGGGGAUCUUCGGACCUCGCGCUAUUGUAGCGGCCGAUGGCAGAUUAGCUAGUUGGUGGGGUAAAGGCCUACCAAGGCGACGAUCUGUAGCUGGUCUGAGAGGACGACCAGCCACACUGGGACUGAGACACGGCCCAGACUCCUACGGGAGGCAGCAGUGGGGAAUUUUGGACAAUGGGCGAAAGCCUGAUCCAGCAAUGCCGCGUGUGUGAUGAAGGCCUUCGGGUUGUAAAGCACUUUUGGCGGGAACGAAAAGGACUGUGCCAAUACCACGGUUCGAUGACGGUACCCGCAGAAUAAGCACCGGCUAACUACGUG